rnacentral:rRNA from 1 species
UAAUACGUAGGGUGCAAGCGUUGUCCGGAUUUAUUGGGCGUAAAGAGUUCGUAGGCGGAUAAGAAGGUUAUUGGUUAAAGACUCUGACUUAAUCGGAGAAAGGCGAGUAAUACCGUUUAUCUAGUCCACGAGAGGGGGUGCUAGAAUUUACCAUGUAGGGGUGAAAUCCGUUGAUAUGGUAAGGAAUGCCAACGGCGAAGGCGGGCACCUGGUUCGAUGGAGACGCUGAGGAACGAAAGCUAGGGGAGCAAACCGGAUUAGAGACCCGGGUAGUCCUAGCCGUAAAUGAUCCCCGCUAGAUGGUCGGUUCGUAAUCGGACUAGCUGUCGAAGGUAACCCAUUAAGCGGGGCGCCUGGGAAGUACGGCCGCAAGGUUG